rnacentral:sRNA from 1 species
UCAAAAAUCCUAUAUACCCAGGCAUUAAAAAUCAUUGAUAUUCAGUCAGUCAUGUGGCUGGCAACAGAACAUUCAAAUAUUAAACAACAAUUCUGGGCCUAAUUCCUUGGGUGAUUGUACUUUGGGAAACCCUCGAAAUUCUGCGGAUGCUUCGGGCACUUUGGAGCUUCUGGUGGCCCCUGCUAUGAGCCUCCGGUGGGAGGGCGGGGGGGCCGCACAGGAGGUUCCUUCGGGCAAAAGUUAAUUUCCCACAAGAAAAUGCCAAUAAAAUUCUAUAAUAAAUAGUGAA